CCCUACGGGGCCAGCAGUGGGGAAUAUUGGGCAAUGGACGCAAGUCUGACCCAGCAACGCCGCGUGAAGGAAGAAGGCUUUCGGGUUGUAAACUUCUUUUAAGGGGGAAGAGCAGAAGACGGUACCCCUUGAAUAAGCCACGGCUAACUACGUGCCAGCAGCCGCGGUAAUACGUAGGUGGCAAGCGUUGUCCGGAUUUACUGGGUGUAAAGGGCGUGUAGGCGGGACUGCAAGUCAGAUGUGAAAAUUAUGGGCUCAACCCAUAACCUGCAUUUGAAACUGUAGUUCUUGAGUGAUGGAGAGGC
rnacentral:rRNA from 1 species